rnacentral:rRNA from 1 species
GAUGAACGCUGGCGGCGUGCCUAAUACAUGCAAGUAGAACGCUGAAAGAAGGAGCUUGCUCUUUCUGGAUGAGUUGCGAACGGGUGAGUAACGCGUAGGUAACCUGCCUCUUAGCGGGGGAUAACUAUUGGAAACGAUAGCUAAUACCGCAUAAAAGUCGACAUUGCAUGAAGUUGACUUGAAAGGUGCAAAUGCAUCACUAAGAGAUGGACCUGCGUUGUAUUAGCUGGUUGGAGGGGUAACGGCCCACCAAGGCGACGAUCAGUAGCCGGUCUGAGAGGAUGAACGGCCACAUUGGAACUGAGACACGGUCCAGACUCCUACGGGAGGCAGCAGUGGGGAAUCUUCCGCAAUGGGCGAAAGCCUGACGGAGCAACGCCGCGUGAGUGAAGACGGCCUUCGGGUUGUAAAACUCUGUUAUAGGGGACGAACGGCCGGGUAGCGAAGAGGUAGCCGGCAUGACGGUACCGUAAGAGAAAGCCACGGCUAACUACGUGCCAGCAGCCGCGGUAAUACGUAGGUGGCAAGCGUUGUCCGGAAUGAUUGGGCGUAAAGGGCGCGCAGGCGGCUGUGUAAGUCUGUCCAGAAAGUGCGGGGCUAAACCCCGUGAGAGGAUGGAAACUGGACAGCUGAGAGUGUCGG